ACAUCAAAUGUGGAAUAUUGCGUAGAUUGUUUGAAUACAGAAAUAUGACAUAUUGUAAUCUUGUAGCGACAAGUAGUUAUUCAAUUGAGAUCUUGUCCGCGUUUAUGUGUGGGUAAGCGUGAUGAUGUGGUUGUUUGCAUUGUCGCUGGGAAGGAAAGGUAAAUACCCCAUGGUAUAAUAGAAUGGAUUAUUACGUAGGAAAGUAACAAUUACGUGAUAUGAGACUUUAAUUUUUAUUCGGAAUUAUGUGCCUCGGGGAAAGGUCGACUAUUGUUUCCAGCAAAAUUUAUCUCGAGUAUCAUAUUUGUUCAAUUUAGAUGUGCUAUAGUGGUAUAUCCGUAUUUUAAUACAAACUGAAAGGUAGUGGAUUACGUAUAUGUGACAUUUAAAGUGGAGAAAUUCAAUUUGACCGUUCAGAAGCUACAAAGUUAUAAGUAUGUUUCAAGGUGAUAUGGAACCACCACCUCCAGCAACGUUUGAUGCCCUCUCAUGCUGAAGUGGCGAUGCUUGUUAAUCUUGUGUGCUGACUAACAGGAGUACCCUGGACAGAAGCAGGGUGUGUGAAUAGUCAGUUAUG